rnacentral:rRNA from 1 species
CCUACGGGAGGCUGCAGUGGGGAAUAUUGGACAAUGGGCGAAAGCCUGAUCCAGCCAUGCCGCGUGUGUGAAGAAGGCCUUCGGGUUGUAAAGCACUUUCAGUGGGGAAGAAAGCCUUGGGGCUAAUACCCUCGAGGAAGGACAUCACCCACAGAAAAAGCACCGGCUAACUCCGUGCCAGCAGCCGCGGUAAUACGGAGGGUGCGAGCGUUAAUCGGAAUUACUGGGCGUAAAGCGCGCGUAGGCGGUCUGAUAAGCCGGUUGUGAAAGCCCCGGGCUCAACCUGGGAACGGCAUCCGGAACUGUCAGGCUAGAGUGCAGGAGAGGAAGGUAGAAUUCCCGGUGUAGCGGUGAAAUGCGUAGAGAUCGGGAGGAAUACCAGUGGCGAAGGCGGCCUUCUGGACUGACACUGACGCUGAGGUGCGAAAGCGUGGGUAGCAAACAGGAUUAGAUACCCUGGUAGUC